UAUUGGUUCCUUCGCGACGACCAACCGUGAAUCCCGUCAGGCCCGGAAGGGAGCAGCGG
rnacentral:SRP_RNA from 1 species